CUGGUUUCCCGCUCAGUUGGUAGAGCGCUAGUUUGUGGUACUAGUUGUCGCGGGUUCGAGCCCCGUCAGCCACCCCA
rnacentral:tRNA from 1 species